UGGGGAAUAUUGCACAAUGGAGGGAACUCUGAUGCAGCGACGCCGCGUGAACGAAGAAGGCUUUCGAGUCGUAAAGUUCUUUUAUAUGGGAAGAUAAUGACGGUACCUAACCAGAAAGCCACGGCUAACUACGUGCCAGCAGCCGCGGUAAUACGUAGGUGGCAAGCGUUGUCCGGAAUUAUUGGGCGUAAAGCGCGCGCAGGUGGUUUAGAAAGUCUGAUGUGAAAGCCCACGGCUCAACCGUGGAGGGUCAUUGGAAACUAAUAAACUUGAGUGCAGGAGAGAAAAGUGGAAUUCCUAGUGUAGCGGUGAAAUGCGUAGAGAUUAGGAGGAACACCGGUGGCGAAAGCGGCUUUUUGGCCUGCAACUGACACUGAGGCGCGAAAGCGUGGGGAGCAAACAGG
rnacentral:rRNA from 1 species